rnacentral:rRNA from 1 species
UACAGAGGUCCCAAGCGUUGUUCGGAUUCAUUGGGCGUAAAGGGUGCGUAGGCGGCGCGGUAAGUCGGGUGUGAAAUCUCGGGGCUUAACUCCGAACUGCAUUCGAUACUGCCGUGCUUGAGGACUGGAGAGGAGACUGGAAUUUACGGUGUAGCGGUGAAAUGCGUAGAUAUCGGGAGGAACACCUGCGGCGAAGGCGGCGACCUGGGUCGAGACUGACGCUGAGGCGCGAAAGCGUGGGGAGCGAGUCCGG